CCUAUUUGUGGGAAGCUUUUAUAUAUGCAUAUAUGCCUUAUGAGUUGUUAAACUCAUCUAUUUUGAACCAAACAAAAAAAUAAAAAUAUCUAGAGAAAGGGGAAGGAGAACCGUGAGAGAGAGAGAGGGAGAGAGAGAAGAGGCAAAGCUUCUCCCUAAGGAAUUCAACAUCCAUGGAAGCUUGAAGAUGGUUGAAGAAGAUAGAAGAGAGAGGAAAGAUCAACCAAAAGCUUGGGAAAAAUUGAAGAGACUAAGGGAUGAACAAAGGUUUGGGUAAGGUCGAGACGAGGACAUUGUACCAUUACCACCGGGAACCGAUCACUUAUUAUACGAACAUUUAUGACAAUUGGAAAGCAAUGUGAACUUAUAUGAACGCUGAAAGAUUCGCAUACGUCGGUAUGAUUUCGGAAUCCUUAUGUUCUGUGAAUAUUAGCCGUUUGUUAUUUAUUAGCACACUAUGUUAUUUCUUAAAGAAUAAGUGGAACUUAUGUUCAUCCUUGAAGAAUGAUAUUUGUGUGAAUCUAAGAUUAUGUUACGAAGGGACCCAAGAACGUUUAGAAUAUAUGAUAUGAAAGUAAAGGUUUACCAUCAGUAUGCAACCCACAUAAGAAUAUGAAUUAUUCUAUUUUGUUAAGUGCAUGAUAAUGACAUGAUAUAACAAGAAAUGUUCUGGUUUCUAUUAACUUAAUGAUUAUUCAUAUAUGUAGAAGUAUUCACAUCAUCUUUAGCACAAGGCCCCUACCCAGAGGUAAUAAUACCGUGGUUCAAAUAAUUAAGUUACAAGUUUAUGUAUGUUCUAAGUUUAAGCCCGUUAUAAGUUUACGUAUGCUAUAAGUCAAGAAUGUUACAAACUCAAGAAUGUUACAAGUUUAUAUAUGUGACAAGUUCAAGUAUGUACAAGUUUAAGUAAGGUUACAAGUACAAGUAUAUACAAGUUUAAAUAUGUUACAAAUUUUCAAGUUUAGGUAUGUUAUAAGUUCAAGUAUGUUACAAGUAGACACAUGUUACAAGUUCACGCA